rnacentral:rRNA from 1 species
UACGUAGGUGGCAAGCGUUGUCCGGAUUUAUUGGGUUUAAAGGGUGCGUAGGCGGCUUUGUAAGUCAGUGGUGAAAUAUGGCAGCUCAACUGUCAGGGUGCCAUUGAUACUGCAGAGCUUGAGUACAGAUGAGGUAGGCGGAAUUGACGGUGUAGCGGUGAAAUGCUUAGAUAUCGUCAAGAACACCGAUAGCGAAGGCAGCUUACUGGGCUGUAGCUGACGCUGAGGCACGAAAGUGUGGGGAUCAAACAGG